rnacentral:rRNA from 1 species
GUUGGCGACCAUACCACGUUGUAAGCACCGGUUCUCGUCCGAUCACCGAAGUUAAGUAACGUUGGGCCCUGUCAGUACUUGCAUGAGUGACCGGCUGGGAAUACCGGAUGUUGCCGGCU